AGCUAGACCAAUGGUAACCCUGCCUUAGCUGAAUCUCUGAAACUGAGCUGGUGUGGGCUUUGUUAGUACUGGAUGGGAGACCAACUGGGAACACUGCUGGAGUAGUGU
rnacentral:rRNA from 10 species